UUACGGCCAUAUCACGUUGAAAAACCAGUUCUUGUACGAUCACUGGAAUUAAGCAACGUCGAGCCUGGUCAGUACCUAGAUGAGUGACCGCUUGCGAAUAUCAGUUGCUGUAA